rnacentral:tRNA from 7 species
GGACCCGUAGCUCAGCUGGAUAGAGCAUCAGACUACGAAUCUGAGGGUCGGGCGUUCGAAUCGCUCCGGGUUCACCA